rnacentral:lncRNA from 1 species
UUGAGUCUUAGCUGAUUUUGUUGUGGACUCCAAUCCGAAUCUUGAUGCUCGCAAGUCGCUUUUGGUCAUCUCGAACCCUGUGCCUCAAGGUCAAACCUGCUCAGACACCAAAACAAACAAACGAAUGAAAUUUUUCUACCCCAAUUUUCACUAGAAAAAUUCCGUGACUUAUUUGUGACAAAAAUAUGGACUCAUUCUUUUUUUAUUCGUUUUCAAGGAUAGUAUUUGUGUAUGAUAGAACAGAUUGCGGUGGAGCCCCACUGCUAAUAUGUCAUUUCAGGUGUUGGAGCCCUAAUGUUAGUGCAAAAAUGACUAGGGAAUGGAGGCCCUAUGUCUAAAAGACGCAACCCAUGGAUUGGAACCCUAAUUUUGGCAAAAGGCAAAAAGCUCAACUCAGGGAAUGGAACCCUAAUGUUGGCGAAUGGUGACUAGGGAAUGGAGGCCCUAUGUCUAAAAGUAACAACUCAGGGGUUGGAGCCCUAAUGUUAACUAAAGGGGAAAACUCUCAACUCAGGAAUUGGAGCCCUAAUGAUGGCUAAAGGAAAAAACGUUCAACUCACGGAUUGGAGCCCUAAUAUUGGCUAAAGGGAAAACCGCUCAACUCAGGGAUUGGAUCCCUAAUAUUGGCUAAAGGAAAAAUGCUUCACUCAGGGAUUGGAUCUCUAAUGUUGGCUAAGGGUAAAACGCUCAACUCAGGGAUUGGAGCCCUAAUGUUAGUUAACGGGGUACCAGGUUGAAGUUGGGAACUCUAAACUAUCCUCUUUUGGGAUUUUCUUGUUUUGUUAUCUCUUUUCUUUCUUUUUCACUUUUGAUAAGAUAUAGGAAAGAACUUGGAGGAAACUUCCCUUUUGCAUUAAUUAUUUGCUGCAAAGCCAUUUCAGCAGUUGCACGUCUUUUUUUGGCUGCACCUGCUUUUUGCUCGGUUGCCUUGAUUGCACUUAUUUCAAUUUUCAAACAAAGAACAAUUGUUAGUUAGAAACGGUAGUUGGUUUUGUGGUCUUGAUUUCUUGAUCACGACCCCACUUCUGUCAAGAGCCUCUGUUGCUUGUUGGUUUUGAAGAUUAUUCUCUCUUUCAAACCGAGGGCCUCAACCUUCAGGAUUUCAUGACAGCUCACCCGCAUAGGGCUCCAGCCUUUCACUUUAUUCUACUCUUAGGACCUUUGUCUUUGGACAUGCUUUCCUUUUCAAUAUCUUUGCUUUGAAAGCAUCAAUAAUCAUGGCCAGUCCGGAUUGGGUUGAUGCACCCCCUGAGGCUAAGUACCGUUCUUUAGCUCUUGCAAGGUAGAGCCGUAUAAAACCAGUCUUGGAAUCUUUUCUUUGUAAUAGUUUCGGAAUCAGAGUUAGACCAAAAAGGAUUCAAAGAAAAAGAAAACAGAGAGCAAUAGGAUGAAUUUAAAUAGAAGCGUCUCUUUUCGGGGGAAAAGAAGGACUUAUUUGGGGUGCAUGUAGGCUUCAAAUUGACAUGACAUGCUUCUUGGACUGGAUGCCCGACGCGCACAAACUUUCCCAACUUCUCGUAAACUCACUGGCCCUUAUGUCAAAACUGAGGAUCCUUGCCGUGACUUUUUCAGUGAUGGGUGAUGUCUUCCUUUCGGCCGACAAUGCCCUUUGCGGGUCUUUGCCAAUCGACUUCUCUCAUUUCUCUUCUCACCGUCACCCGAUAUUGCUCUUUACGAGUUUUCAUUGAAUGGACUCUCUCAUUUUCAAUUUCCCUACUCACCGUCGCCUCAUGGUGCCCGUAGGUUUCACCGAUAAGACUCUCUCGUUUUAUUUUCUAAAUUUGGACUGCAUCAGAUUCCAACAAUCAUGUUUUUCAAUUCCCACUUCUUUUCCAAUUGAUCAGAAGGACUUGGAAAAGGUUUUUGGGUAAAAAGAAUUUUGGAAGAAACUACAACUUCGGAACCGUUUUAGUGGGCUCAUGGUCGAGCCAUUAUAUCAUCUUCCCCUGUUUCAUUUUUUGGGUGAAUUGCGAUUUUUGUUUUGGUGUGACUGAACCCCAGAGAGAGGCUGCCUACAUAUCCUUUCGGAACCAAGUCGAACGUAGUUCAAGGAAAUGCUUGUUUUGGUAUUUUAUUUUUUCUUUCUUUUUUUCAUCAUUUUUUCAUUAUUUUUUUCUUCUUUUUUUCUUCUCUUUUUUUAUUUUUUUCUUCUACUUUUUUCUUUUUUUUUAAUAAUACUUCCGAGUUCCAAAGAGGCUAAUCAAAGAAGAGUAGCUGGCUCAAAUGGGUUUGCAAAUGGUUGAUAGUGUUUGGGUAGCGGGAAUGAAAACCUUCGUCAUCACAACUGCACAAAGGUCAUCACCGGAGCAAGCCUAGACAUAGUACGUUUUCACUGCGUCCGCAUUCAUAACUGCUUCAAGAUCAUUUCCUUCGAUGUCUCCUAGAUACAAUGCUCCUCUCGGCAAUAUCUUUCAGAUGAUGUAUGGACCCUUCCAAUUAGGAGCAAAUUCUCCUUUCGCUUCCUGGUGAUGAAGAAGAAUGUGCCUGUUCUGCUUCAAAAUUUCUGGGCUACAGCUUCUUGUUAUAAGCACGGGCCAUUCUUUGUUGCUACAACUCUCUGUGGCAAACUGCAGCCAUUCGCUUUUCAUCAAUUAAGGUCAACUAUUCCUGAUGAGUCGUGACCCACUCACUGUCCUCAAUCUCUACUUCAACGAUGAUCUGGAGCGAAGGGAUUUCUACCUCUGUAGGUAUAACAGCCUCAGUUCCAUAGACGAACAGGUAUGGGGUUGCUCCCAUCGAUGUGCGCACCUAGUUCGAUAUCCAAGUAAUGCAAAAUGCAUCUUUUCAUGCCAUUGUUUGGAGCUCUGAAUCAUCUUUCUCAAAAUCAUCUUGAUGUUUUUGUUUUGCUGCUUCAACGACACCAUUGGCUUUGGGCCGGUAGGGAGUGGAGUUUCUAUGCGUUAUUUUGAAUUAUUCGCAUACUUCUUCAAUCAAACGACUAUUCAUGUUACCAGCAUUAUCUGUGAUUAUGGUUGAAGGAAUGCCAAAGCGGAAGAUAAUAUUAGAGUGUACAAAAUCUACCACAACUUUCUUAGUGACUGACUUGAGAGUGAUGGCUUCAAUGCACUUCAUGUAGUAGUCAAUGGCAACCAAUAUGAAUAUAUGUUCAUUUGAGGCCUUUGGCUCAAUCGGCCCAAUGACAUCCAUGCCCCAGGUAAUAAAGGGCCAAGGUGCUGACAUGGGAUGCAGUUCUGUUAGAGGUACAUGAAUCAAAUCACUGUGCAUCUGACACUAAUGGCACAUCUGGACAAAGCUGAAGCAGUCUUUUUCCAUGGUUAACCAGUAAUACCCCGCCCGGAGGAUUUUCUUAGCCAAAAUAUAUCGUUCAUGUGAGGUCCGCACACACCUGCGUGGACUUCAAGCAUAAUCCUUCCAGCUUCCUCGACGUCAACACAUCUUAACAAAUUGAGAUCUGGUGUCCUUUUGUAUAGGGCAUAACCAUGGCGUCUAAUGGUUCUCUUUUUUUCUCCGGUAGCUUGUUCGGGGUAUUCUUGCAUUUUCAGAAACAUGUUAAAGUCAUGAUACCACGGCUGGGUGGUUAGUUCUGCCUCAACUGUGUUAGAAUAACCAUGCCUUUCCUAGAUUUGGAUCUCCCAAGGAUCAAUAUGGGCAUUGCCAGGGUAAGGAAGCAUCGAAGCUAGAGUGGUGAGUACAUCAGCUAAUUCAUUGUGACACCGAGUGAUGUAGCUGAACUCUAUUGACCUGAAAUGUUUACUGAGAUCCUCCACAUGUUGCUGAUAAGGAAUAAGCUUAACACUGCGGGUUUCCCACUCCCUGGGCUUGCCGGAUAACUGAGUCCCCCACAAUCAAUAACUCUUUGACGUCUAGGUCGAUCUCCAUGUUCAUACCCACAAUAUAGGCUUCAUAUUCAGCAGUAUUGUUUGUGAAAAAAAAAAUCAAAGCCUCACCGUGGACGGAUAGUGCUGAUCAGUGAGUGAGAUCAAAAUUGCCCCAAUUCCCAUACCUUUAACAUUCACCGCUCCAUCAAAAAACAUUUUCCAAGCAUGGGUAUUUUCAGAGAUUGCUUCAAUUGAGUUUACCUUUUCAUCUAGGAAGUAAGUUCUCAAUGGUUGGUAUUACUCGUAAACCGAAUUUUCAGCCAAAUGAUUUGCUAACUCAUUGGCUUUCAUUAUCGUACGAGUGACAUAGACUAUGUCAAACUCCGUGAAUAGAAUUUGCCAUUUUGCUAAUCUCUUUGUGGGCAUCAAUUUUUGGAAUAUGUACUUCAAGGGAUCCGAUCUUCCCUAACACUCAGAGUAGUUAUGGUUUGAGAUGAGAAAGGAGCACCGGCCGAACGCAAUGAAUGAAUAAGAAAUUGACAGCAGAGGGAAUCAAUGAUUCUUAUUCGACCGAGUUCUAGCUAGAAAGAUGUAGAUUACACACCGGAGGUUGGUAAGAACUGAGGUUUGGAACCCUAACCUAAGUAGGCCUACCAGCGAAGCAACAGGUACUUGAUCGGGCGGGGGGGCGGUUUGGUUUCAAGGCCCUCGCAGCAGGAAGAAGCAGUUGUCAUUUGAAAGUAAAGGCUCUUCUCCUGUUUUACGAAUCCUACAACUCUCUUUACUGAGCGAGACUCCAUCCAUAUCCCUACUAGUGGUUUUUCUUUCAUUCAAUCAUCACUUGUUUGACAGCUUAAACUAGGCUCCACUUUAGAGAUAGGUUUUUGGUCUUAAUCAAAAUAGGUCAAGGGCGCGUCGGAACGGUCGGUAGCUGCUUAGUCUCAUCCGAGAGUUUAAUCUCCUUACUCCUUACUGCUUUUUUCAAAGAAAAAAAGAGGGGGGUCGAUUUAGGCUCCUUCCCUNNNNNNNNNNNNNNNNNNNNNNNNNNNNNNNNNNNNNNNNNNNNNNNNNNNNNNNNNNNNNNNNNNNNNNNNNNNNNNNNNNNNNNNNNNNNNNNNNNNNNCUUCAGCAGGCUUCGCCCUAUCUAUUCAUCUAUUUUCUCAAAUGGAUAUUUAGGGAUCUCUCUUGUUCAUAGAUCUUGAAACCAGAUCAAUAUCCGACCUAGUUAUCAGGUAGGUAGUGUGGGCUUGAAGAUAGUGUCUCAGCUUUUGAGCGACCCAAGUCAAAGCACAAUAGGUUCUCUCCAACAGAGUAAAUUUAGAUUCAUAACUAGUGAACUUCUUGCUCAAGUAAUAGAUAUCAUGUUCUUUAUUUCCAGUUAAAUCGUGUUGCUCGAGGACACAGCCGAAAGAAUUUUCUAAGAUUGUCAGAUACAAGAAAAGAUGCCUCCCUGGCUCUGGUGGGACAAAGACUGGCAUAUUUGACAGAUAUUCUUUGAUCUGGUCGAAGGCUUCUUGACAUUCAUCCGUCCACCUAACUGCUGCAUCUUUAUUUAGUAACUUGAAUAUAGGCUCGCAUGUGGAUCUCAACAGAGCAAUGAACCAGCUGAUAUAGUUUAAUCUGCCCAGCAAGCUCAUCAUAUCUUUCUUAGUUCUUGGAGGAGGCAGAUCUCGGAUAGACUUUAUCUUUGUUGGGUCUAACUUGAUACCUCUUCUACUGACUAUGAAACCUAGAAGUUUGCCCGACGGGACUCCAAAUUCACAUUUAGCUGGGUUCAGGUUCAGAUCAUACUUGCGCAACCGCUCGAAUAAUUUUCUCAAAUCUCGAACGUGAUCAUCCUAAGCUCGAGAUUUGAUGAUUAUGUUGUCCACGAAUAAUUCUAUCUCCUGAUGCAUCAUAUCAUGAAAGAUGGCAGUCAUGACCCUCAUAUAGAUUGUUCCGGCAUAUUUCAGAACAAAUGGCAUGACUCUGUAGCAAUAUGUACCCCAAGGUGUGGUGAAGGCUGUCUUUUCUGCGUCUUCUUUAUCCAUCAACACUUGGUGAAAUCCUGCAUAGAAAUCAACGAAGGACUGUAUUUCAUGCUUGGCGCAGUUAUCAAUAAGGAGGUGGAUAUUAGGCUAACGGAAAUUAUCCUUGGGACUCGCCUUGUUCAAAUCUCUAUAAUCCACAGACACUCAGGCCUUCCCAUCUUUUUUUGGAACUGAAACUAUAUUAGCCAACCAUGUAGUAUACCUAACCACUCGAAUUACCCCUGCUUUCAACUGUUUCGUUAUCUCUUCCUUGAUUUUAUAACGGAUGUCAGUUUUGAACUUUCUCUAUUUUUACUAGACCAGAGGGAAGUCAGGGUAAAUUGGAAAAUUAUCCACACUUAGCCUUGGCAUGUCGUCCGACCAAGCAAAUACAUCUUUGAACUCAAACAGGAGUCGGAUUAUUGCAUCCCGGGUUUUCUUGUCUUUGUUAAUGCUUAUCUUGGUUUCCUGGAUUUCUUCAGAAUUUCCCAGGUUAACCGGCUCAGUAUCAUUCAAGUUUGGCUUAGGUUUAUUCUCAAAUUAUUCCAAUUCUCGAUUUAUUUCCCUAAAAGCCUCUUCUUCAUCAUAUUUCGGUUCUUAGUUCAUUAUUUCACAAUUAGACAGCGUGUUUGGAUCUAAGCAUGAAGUCCACAAGCAUAUCAUGUUAUUUAAAGCCACAUUAUUAGAACUGAAAAGAACAAACGAAAGAGAAAAUAGCAAAAUCAACAAGAACAAAAAGAAUGUACGAUGAAAUAUUGAUUUCAUUUAUUGGAAUUUGGAAGAUAAUAGGGUUUACAUUUGGAAACUUAAAUAGAUGAAUCUAAAGAAAACAUCCGAAUUACACCCUUGAAAAACUCACGAUGCAAAAAAAGAGGUAGGACAGGUCUACCAGGACUCGCGCCUCAUUGGGAAUGCGUAGCCUUCCAAUUCUGUAGCUUGGCAUUUGGUCCCAUAUACAGCACCUCACCGGUGCUUGUGCCUUCUCUUGGUUGAACCAUAUGGGCUUCGUAGAGUAUCUUCCUCAUGGCACAACAUUUUUCUUCAAUUUCUUCAGCCGUGAACUCCUUAUCAUCCCCUUCUUCCCUGUACUUCGGCUUGACAAAGGUUUUAUACAAAUGUGGUAGUGGUUGUGGUAGGACUCAUCCCUCCUUCUUUCUCUUAUAUGCCCACUUUAUAUUGUCUGGGAUAGGCAGGAAACCUCUCCCGAAAAACUUUUCAGCUGUAGGUAGAGUCACUAGCUCAGAUAUUCCUUGCAAACUUUUCCAAGUCCCUUUCCUGGCUUGAAACCAUGUCUUUUAAUUUCCUAGGCCACCAUAAUCAACGCGUUGGACAAGAAAGGUAGGGGCAAGGAUUUCCCUCUUCAUAUUGGUCCGCCACCACAACAUCAAAAGUUUGGUAAACUAUGUGUUCACUGCCUUCCCUCACUUCCAGGCAUGGUACAGAUGGAUCCCGAUAGAUUACCUGUUCAUCCUCUCCAUGGACCACAAUCUUCUGAUCCUCAUGUUCAAAUUUCACCAUCUGAUGGAGGGUAGAGGGUACAUCUCCGCGGCAAGGAUCCAGGGCGUUUCUAGAAGAAAAUUAUUGAAAUGUCCAUGUCUAGCACUUAGAAAGUCACCUCGAAGUCCACCGGGUCAAUGGUCAAAAUCAGGUCAAUUUCUCCAAUUAUGUCUCUUUUAAUUCCAUCAAAAGCUCGCACACAUACAUUGUUCGGACGAGUCCUUUCAGUCCCCAUUUCCAUAUGCUGCAAUGUAGAGAGUGGCAAAUGUCUACCCCAGAACAUCCGUCUACCAUGACCCUUUCACAUAGUAUCCUUCACAUUUGACAGCCAAGUGCAAAGCUUUGUUGUGAGAAGCCCCUUCUAGAGGCAAGUCAUUUUUUCUUAAUGAAAUUGAUAGCAAAAUAUCUUUCCAUCAUUCUUUCUAAUUGUUCCACCGAAGUUUCAGCUGGCAUGUAUGCUUCAUUGAGGGUCUUGACUAAAACCUUCUGGUGUUCGGGAGACUUCAUCAGCAAUGACAGCAAGGACACUUGUUCAGGAUACUUACGUAGUUGAUCAACCACUUCAUAGCCCGCCAUCUUCAUUUUCUUAAAGAAGCUUCUGUCUCUUCAGGACUUACAGGUUUCUUACAGGGGAAUGCAGUUGAUCAACCACUUUAUAGCCUGCCAUCUUCAUUUUCUGAAAGAAAUCUUCUGCCUCUUCGGCACUUACAGGUUUCUUAGAUGCAAAAUGCUUCCUAGUGGCAUUGUUUCCUUCUUCCACAUUAGAGUACUUCACAACAGGACGAUUUUCUUGAAACUCCCCCAAGAUCUCUUUGCCCUUAUUCGUAAAUAUUAUUUUAUGAUAAUUCCAUGGCACUGCAGUCGGAUCCAUCAUGGGCCUCUAUGGCACACAGCUAAUAACCAUGGGCUCAGUCAUCCUUGGUGGAUUAGUUGACCUCGCACCUAGGCUCCUUUGGGUACUUAUAUUUGGGCUCCCUUAUUCAUUUCAAACAUCUUUGGAGGGCUCAAAGUCAACUGCUUUUAUUUACGACCUCGUGGGACAUAGAGAAUUCCAUCUUUGGGAUGCAUUGCCCCUGUUCCCAUUUUAACUUUCUUUUCUGAUUCUGUCUUGGGGACUUUAUUCGCAAUGGCAAUUAUGGACUUAAGCGCCGGAUCAAAUUCUUUGUCUUUACAAAUCAUCCCAAUCAUUAGCCCAUUAUUAUGGGAUGGCGAUGGAUUAUUGGUCACGUUGGGGAUAUCCUCAUCCCUUAGCACUAUCUUUCCUAGCUCUAUCAAGUUCUCCACCGCUCUUUUCAAGGUCCAAAAAUCAUUUGUAUCGUGCCUUUCUCCCCCUGAAUGACAGGCAUAUCUGACACCGGCUCUGUAAGCAGGCGACUCUAUAUUUUGCCUUGUUUGGGGGACUGGCUGCAGUAGACCCAGUUGGACAAGCUUUUGGAAUAGAUCGGAGUAGGAUGCAUCGAUUGAUGUGAAUGUUUGUGUCCAGGGUGGCUCACGAGGAGGAAAAUUAUUCUAUGGAGGACGAGGAUUAUAGUGGUUUUGGUGAGGAGGCUGAUUUCUUGGAAAUGGAGCUUGGUUUCUAUAGCCAUGUUAUUGCGGUCGUACAAAAGGUUGAGCAUUCAUAACCGCAUAUAGUUGAGGAGCAUAGACCAUGUCGUGGUGAGGGGAAUAAUGUUGAGGGGGUCUUUCUGAAAAUAUGUGUCUAGGAGUGCGGUGUUUUCUUGCACCCGAAGCCGCCAUGGAUGUUUCUUCUUUCUUCUUUCCAUUUUCCAUUCCUCUAGACUCGCCUUGGAUGGCUUGUGAGGUUUCUCUAAUAGCCGAUUAGCUCACAAUUCUGCCUAUUUUCAGUCCAUUCUCCACCAUUUCACCAAUUGUAAUAGCCUUUGUGAAUGGUUUGCCUAUAGCUAACAUCAUAUUCUGUUAAUAAUCAGCUUCCUGAGCCUGAAGAAAUACCGUGACCAUUUCCAUCUUUUCCAUUUGAGGCUUUACCCUUGACGCAUGUUCACGCUAUUUGAUUGCAUACUCCCUAAAACUCUCAGAGGAUUUCUUUUUUAGAUUUGACAAUGAGUUCUGGUCUGGAGCAAUGUCUAUAUUGUACUAAACUGUCUAAUAAAGUCACUUGUGAGGUCGUCCCAGAUAUGCCAAUGAGAAAUGUCCUGAUCUAUCUACCACUCGAAGGAAAUACCCACCAAACGUUCCCCAAAGUAAGCCAUGAGAAAUUCUUAUUUUCCUCCGGCUCCUCACAACUGAUUGCAGUACUUCUUAAGGUGAGCAAUAUGAUCACCAUGCCCAUCAUAUUUUUUGAACUUCGGAGUUUUGAAUCCCGUAGGCAACUACACGUAAGGGAACAUGCGUAGAUCAGUAUAUUACACACUCUUCUUCCCACUCAAAACCCUGCCUGUUUUUUAGGCUUUGCUCCAGGCUUCUAAUCCUUUUCGCCAUUUCAUCCGGUUCGGGAGCUUUGGGAGUCUUGUCCUGCCCUGUUGUGAACUCAAAUGGAGAUGUCUGAGAAUAAGUAUAGGUGGGGUAUUGAGGAGGCUCUACUUGGAAAGUAAGAUUUUGGAAUGUAAAGGCCGAAGGAUCAAAAGUGGGUCUAGGCAACGCAGACUGUGUUAUUGCGGAGCAUGGGUAGUAGUAAAGAUAUUGGGGACUGUUCCAGAUGUGAACACCUGGGGCGGACCUCAGAAGGUGUUCCCACAAAAUGAGCCGACAUGAUGGGCUGUCCUAGUGAAAUAUUUGGAUAACUGAUGGGAAUAUUGGAGGCACCCUCUGAUCUAGGGAAAAGUUCAGGGAACCCAAGGAUGGCACUUGGAGACUCCCUUCCAUUCGUCCAUGCUUCCCAUAUUUCCAUGACCCGGAGACAUAGGAUCCUAUUUUCUUCGGCCACUGCAGACUCUGAGGCCGGGAUGCCUAAGAUUGGGCUAUCUUCUAGGAUGGGAAUUGAUGGAAAGGUCAUUUCUGAAGAUAUAUGCUACCCUUUGAUCUAGUAAAGUGGGGAUGUGAAGGCAGUUUACCACGAAAAACCAACCACCAUUUCUAUUAAACCUGGACUUGAUUGUGACAACAGCAAACGGUUAGUUUGAGACAAAUAACAGAUAGGUAAUCGCACGUUGGGGUGUGACGCACAUAAACAGUUAAAUGGGUUUCUACAUAUUUUGCAACGGUUGCAUGUGUCAUCCCGGCUUUACUCAUCCAUUUCCACUCUCUUUUCUUUUCUUUCUUUUCACAUUUUUCUUUUCUCCUUCUUUUUUCUUUUUUUUUCAUUCUUGCCUUUACUUUUUGCCAUCGUUUCUUUCUCUUGCUUUCUUAUUUUCUCUCUUUUUUGUUUCUUUUCCUCUCUUAUUUUUCUUUUAUUUUCUUUCCUCUCUUUUUUUUCUUUUUCUUAGGUAUAUGGUCGAAUCUUAUGAAGAUUGCCUACGUAUCAUGACUCCGCAUGAAUCAGACCAAGCGUAGUUCUUGAAAAAUAAACGCGAAAAGUAAAGAAAUAAUUUUGGGAAUUUUCAAUUUUUUAUUAAUAGAAACUUCUAUUACAAAAGAUGUUUAACUAUUCGUCUUCUUGGAAAGGAAAACUACAGACUCAAAAUAAAAUAAAAUACAGAUGUUGUGCUUAAAAGAUCAAGAAUACAUUUAAAGUUUCAAUUAGGGGGGCCCGCGAGGCAUCAUUCGGCAUUGCCGCGGGCUUUUGUUCAAGACCCCUUUGUAGUUGCUCCAGAUCAUUCAUUAUCUACUUAACCAAUGUCAUCACUGCUUCAAAAAAAGGAGGUGCAAGUCAUGUUCUCGCAUACUUGGCACUUCCUAGUGAUGCAGUGAGCAAUGGUUAGGAUCCUUUCUCUAAUUCUGCCUUUUUCUUGAAGCAACCGCCCUAUCUGAUCAUUCCUGGCUUCCAAAACGUGAGAGUCACGAAGGUGUUGAUUUGUAAUUGUUGUAUUUCCUCCUCCAUUUGGGCCAUCAAGUCAUAGCAAUGUUCCUUAUCAGCUUUGAAAUCUUUGGCUUUCUUAGUUGCCUCGUCCUCCGGGGUAGUCACCUUUCUUCUCAGAUUAGCAAUAGUCCCUUCAUAAUUUCUCUUAAUUUGUCGCACAAAUUAGGCCCGUUCUUCUUCUUUCUUUGCCCAUCCAGAAUUUUGCUAUAUUCUCUUGGAUUUUUGCAAGUCUUCUUGGCACUCCAUGAAUUUCUUCUUUAGUCCGCUUAUCAACCUUUCAUCAGCCCGAUUGUUAGGGCUAUUUUCAUCUGUUGGAUCUGAGCCUUAAGAGCCUCAUUUUCUUGGGUCAAUUUCUUCUUGUCACCUUCAUCGGCUGCAGCUUGCAGUCUAUUUUCAAACUGAAGAUCACGUAACUGUUAUUCUAGCUCUCCUAUUCUAGCCCUAUAUUCAUUCUUCUUGGGACAACCAAUCGCACUACACCUGGGCCCCAUCGGUAAAUUGUUGGUGUGUGGUCUGUUUGCGGGCCUUUCAGGAAUUUGGAAUCCUUUGACAAAUCAAAUCAUGUAAUUAGAGUCCAGUUCACCUCUAGAUUGAUCCCGCAUUAUGGUCUUUGGUUCGAGAAACCUACACUCAUUCCAUAUUUGGUGAAUUUUCUCUUCUGGAACUCAGCUUUUGGGCCCAACUCAAUGACUUGUUUACUCGGAUCCUCAUCAUUGUGGAUGGUUUGAAAUAUUUCCAAUUGGCGCAAUACCCUGUAGAGAGCAUAGGGUUGGAUGCUCGGGAUACCCAUUAAAAGGAUAUAAGGCACCUCAACUGACGUGUAUACUGCUUCCGUAACAAGAAGUCAUCCGAAGGCCCACUCAGUAGUCAAAGAUCUCAAAUGUGAUAACCAAGCCUCAGUACCUUCAGGGAAUUUAAUACAUGCUGCCCGGGUUUCAAAUUCUUCAAUGCAGCUCAACCCGGUCAAACCAUAGUUCAUAUACCCGGUCCGGUGACAGAGGUGUUCUUGCAUCCAUAGCUGUAGCAACAAAUUUGAACCCUAGAAGAACUUUCUCCCUUCUCGGCAUAUAGUCAAAGCUUGAUAGAUUUCUGACACGAUCAUAGGAACCACCGUGCUAUUGGCUUUCUUGAUUGAAAUACCUAGCAUUCCUACGUGGCCGAUCUCAACAUGACCAUCUUUUCAUGGAGAGACCAUAACUCCCAAGAAAGCUACCAUGAAAAAUAGACCCCGCCUUGCCUCCCAUUUAUCUUUGUAUCCGGUGUGGGUUAAACCAGUGUUAGGCUCUUCGAAACCCCUAUCAAUGAUACAAGAAAUGGAGUGCUCAAUACCCUUCUGAAAACUUCACGUCCUGAAAAUCCCGACUAAUACUCAGCAGGUCUAGAAAUCUGUGUGGAAUCACCAGUCUUGGUGCCAAUAGAUAUCAAGUUCUAAGGUUUCUGUUGAGGCAUGCAUAACCUGCAAUUCCUCCAAUGUAGGUGUGAGCUCAAAUCGGAGAAACGGAACACAUUGCGAGUAAGGUCCCAAAAAGGUACUAAGGCAUCAAUGAUAUCCAAUAUUGGCUUGACAUUCAAUAAUCCGAUAAGGCCGCCCAGAACUUUUACCAUUGUUUCUCUACUACACUUUCCUAGAUCAUUCCACCACACGUGGAGCUGCAAGGGGAAACUCAUUAAGGACCGUGAAAGGUUCAAUUUCAGUCGUGCUCAUCCUGCACAUUUAUUAAGGUGAUUUAAUGACUCAUUUUGAUCUAAAAGAAAGAGUGACAAUUUUUUCAAAAGAUUUCAUUAAAGAAAAACCAAAACCCGGUUUUGCGUAUACGACCUUUUAGCAUUUCAGGAAAGAAAACUGUAAGGUUGUGUCUGCUAACCGUUAAAAAUGACAUGAGGAGAUAGUUCUUGCAAAAACAGCCUUCUGGCAUCCUUUUGGAGACAUUAGGCUUAUUUUCGACAAGAAUGGCAUCACCUGACUUAUUUAUGACAAAACUAAAAUUUGUGGUUUUUGGGCUAUAUUUGCAAAAAGGGAAGUUCGACCCGAUACGGGUUGCCUACGUAUCCUACAUCCGGUGAUAAUCAAACUGGCGUAGUUCGGGUAAAUUUGACAAAACUAUUUUUGAAAACAAAAAUCUUUCUUUUCUUUUUCUCAAAUAUCCGACAGAGUUUCAGUGCUAUUUGGACAUUGGUUUUUCAAGACAGGUGGUUACCCUUACUUAUUCCUAACACUGCUAUUUUUUCACCUCUUUCCCAUUAUUCAAAAGUUGGUCAGCAUGCAAACCCGAAUCAAACAAAUGCGCAAGUAGCAAGUAAGAUACAUCAUGAUGGCCUUUUUAUUUCAGAUUACCUGUCCUAGACGAACUCCACCCCUGUGUUGAGUCCCCUAAAUCAAAUUCACAUGAUACAAACAAAUGUUCCUACUAGGGAUCUGGCAUGAGGCUUUAUUAUACUAGGUUUAAAACCUGGGUUUAUUGUUCUAGACUGGCUUAGCCGAGCGAAUAACUUAGGCCGAGGGGGGCACCAUACCGGGGAUACAGAAGCUCAGCCGGCUAAGCAACUUGUCUGAACCUCGUUCUAAAUGGGAUAAGACUCUAAACAGAAGAGAAGUCACACGAAGUGCACCUUUCUCCAUGAUGUAGAAGACUCGGAGAGAGGAGAGUUUCGCAGCAGUUUAUAUAUACAGUUUACCAAUAUCAAAGUAGUAAAGCAUUUAGCAUAUUUAGCAUUAAACAUGUAGGAAAAUCAUAUAAAGCCAAAUAUAACAGUUAUUCUAAGCUCGAAUUCUUGAACCCUAAGCCAAAAUUCUGGGUCCAUUAUCCCCAGCAGAGUCGCCAGAGCUGUCACGCCUCCUUUUUACACACCUACCCCGUGGGAUAAAGUAUAAGGGAGUUUUUCAAUUAAAGUGAUAUUAUUCGAAUUGGGAUUAUUUAUUUAUCAGAGUUUCUACUUGGGAUAUGUUUGGCUUUUGGUGUCCAAGUCAUCGAUUUAUCUUGAAUCCCAAAUCGAGUAAAUUUUCGACUUUCCAAGUGAAGUCUGCGAACCAAAAAUUCUGACUAAGGAAUUUUGUUAAUACGGUGGAAGAUGUUAGGCACCUCCGAAUUUCGUGAUUCUAGCACGGUCACUUAAACUAUCAUAAUUGGCCUAUUACCUGAUUUUAAAACAUGUUUCAACCUAUGGUGCAAUUUUAAAUUAUUUACCGCUUUUGAUUAAUUUUUAAAGAAGAUUGAACGUCGUUUAAAACGUAUCUUUGGGCCGCGUCAUAUGAAAUGCACCCGCAAUUCGAAACACAUUUUAUUCAACGUUUUAGGGUUUGGAUUUGAGUCACAUGAAAUGCACACUUGAGUUUAAGAAGAUAAUAUUAUUAAAGAAUGCACCUAAAGCAACUAACGCGUUGUUAACUUUAUGGAAGGCCAUAUAAAUUUGCUAAACAGCGCACAUCGAUUUCUAGAGUUAAAAUUAAUUACAUGAAGAUCAUGGGUCAUUUAAUGCAAACGGCACCCCUCAAAUUGGGAAUUAACCGUUGUAUUAUCAUACCAAGGUCACAACAUUAUCACAGCAAGUGUUUUUAGUAUGAAAUCCACAAAACAGAAAAGCAAUUGAAUUGGUCUAACACCACAAAUAUUUUAAUAUCUCUAUAGUGUAAGUUGAAGCAUGAAUAAUUGAAUCCAUAGUAUUGACUAAAAGAAAAACAGUUUACAUUCCUUCCUUGAUUAAACAUGAGUAAACCUUUGGAUGCAUCAAUGACAUUCAUGAGCAAAUUAACAUCAUUUUAAAAGUCAUGUAUCCAUUCCAUGUGUAUUCUUCAGUUACCACAUACAAGGAUAUCAAUAUCAAUUCAGAAUUAAAACAAAGGAACGGAUCCUCCGGCUCCCACAAAGUGAAUCAGAUUCAAGUGAUUCAAUAUUUAAUGAAAUUGCUAAUAAUCAAUUAUAAUUCCUAAAUCUUCUUAAACCAAAUUCCAUUAAUUACUCUCAUGCUUCAAGAAAUUGGACUAACCUAGGUCCAUUGUUUUCCACAGAAGAACAUUAUUAACAGAGAACUCGUCACAAAUAAGAGUCGCCCGAAAUUUAUACACAGAAGAACCAAAUUCUUUGUCAUUUACAACUCAAGUAAUUGCAUGGUUUCGUACUUACCUGCUAGGCGAAGGAAAUAGCUAGAUUCAACCGAAUCAAGGCUAGGAAAACAAAAGAUCGGAGCUCGGCAACAGUAGAAUCAACAAAAUACAGCUUCAUCAUCUCUGAAAGGAGUGACACAGUCGUAAGAUAUUUCAAACUAAAAUAGUGCAAGAAACGACGUCGGAUUUUCUAAACACGGCGACAUUUGUGAUAUUCACAAUACUCAUUGCAUUCUAACAGAUUAAAGCUCUAAUUUGGAACACUCUUCGCCGUGAGAUUCAAAUAAAAGUAAGUGAGAGAUGCCGAAAGUUGGACAGAUUUGGGGUUGGUUGAUGGCUGAUUUUUGUGGUCUAUUUUGGGAGAAGAUGGAGAAGAUGAUGAACAAGGAAAAAGUUGCGCCCCUCUUGGAGAGGAAAGGAUCUCUCCUUCAGAUCUCUUUAUCUUUUUUAGGUCUAGU